CGGCCCUUAGACUAACCCCAUGACCUACGUUGGGAUCAUUACACAAAUAUGAAGGCGGGCUGGAACCUCUCGGGGUUACAGCCUUGCUGAAUUAUUCACCCUUGUCUUUUGCGUACUUCUUGUUUCCUUGGUGGGUUCGCCCACCACUAGGACAAACAUAAACCUUUUGUAAUUGCAAUCAGCGUCAGUAACAAAUUAAUAAUUACAACUUUCAACAACGGAUCUCUUGGUUCUGGCAUCGAUGAAGAACGCAGCGAAAUGCGAUAAGUAGUGUGAAUUGCAGAAUUCAGUGAAUCAUCGAAUCUUUGAACGCACAUUGCGCCCUUUGGUAUUCCAAAGGGCAUGCCUGUUCGAGCGUCAUUUGUACCCUCAAGCUUUGCUUGGUGUUGGGCGUCUUGUCUCUAGCUUUGCUGGAGACUCGCCUUAAAGUAAUUGGCAGCCGGCCUACUGGUUUCGGAGCGCAGCACAAGUCGCACUCUCUAUCAGCAAAGGUCUAGCAUCCAUUAAGCCUUUUUUUCAACUUUUGACCUCGGAUCAGGUAGGGAUACCCGCUGAA
rnacentral:rRNA from 1 species